GGAUCCAGACUUUGAUCCUGGCUCAGGAUGAACGCUAGCUACAGGCUUAACACAUGCAAGUCGAGGGGCAGCGGGAUUGAAGCUUGCUUCAAUUGCCGGCGACCGGCGCACGGGUGAGUAACGCGUAUCCAAUCUUCCGUACACUCAGGGAUAGCCUUUCGAAAGAAAGAUUAAUACCUGAUAGUAUCUUAAGCACACAUGUAAUUAAGAUUAAAGAUUUAUCGGUGUACGAUGGGGAUGCGUUCCAUUAGGUAGUAGACGGGGUAACGGCCCACCUAGCCAACGAUGGAUAGGGGUUCUGAGAGGAAGGUCCCCCACAUUGGAACUGAGACACGGUCCAAACUCCUACGGGAGGCAGCAGUGAGGAAUAUUGGUCAAUGGACGAGAGUCUGAACCAGCCAAGUAGCGUGAAGGAUGAAGGUCCUACGGAUUGUAAACUUCUUUUAUAAGGGAAUAAACCCUCCCACGUGUGGGAGCUUGUAUGUACCUUAUGAAUAAGCAUCGGCUAACUCCGUGCCAGCAGCCGCGGUAAUACGGAGGAUGCGAGCGUUAUCCGGAUUUAUUGGGUUUAAAGGGAGCGCAGACGGGUCGUUAAGUCAGCUGUGAAAGUUUGGGGCUCAACCUUAAAAUUGCAGUUGAUACUGGCGUCCUUGAGUGCGGUUGAGGUGUGCGGAAUUCGUGGUGUAGCGGUGAAAUGCUUAGAUAUCACGAAGAACUCCGAUUGCGAAG
rnacentral:rRNA from 1 species